CGACGGUGCCUGCUGCUACGUGGAGGUUGCGGACGACCAGGAGUAGUUUAGGAGGUUCCCAGGCAGGAGGCCUCGCCUCGUUCGAUCGUUGUUUAUUUUGUGCUAGCCUUCUCCGAGGCAUUUUCAUGUUUCAUGUCUGUAUUCACAUAUUUAUUGCUUCCGUUGACUCAUGUGUUUAUCGAGCUUCCGUAUUCUAGCCCUCGAGGCCCCUGG
rnacentral:lncRNA from 1 species